GAUGAAGAACGCAGCGAAUUGCGAUAAGUAAUGUGAAUUGCAGAUUUUCAGUGAAUCAUCGAAUCUUUGAACGCACCUUGCACUCCUUGGUAUUCCGAGGAGUACGCCUGUUCGAGUGUUAUGAAGCUCUCAAAACGCAAUUGGCUUAAAACCUGAUUGUUGUUUUGGAUUUGAACUUUGCCGUGUUACAACGGCUGGUUUUAAAAGCAUUAGCUGGUACUAGAACGAAUUGGUUCUACUCAACGUGAUAAUUAUCUGAUCGUUGAGGACAUUCCUUUCACGAGGAAUGGCCAUAGUAAAUUCAAUGGACUGCUUCUAACUUGGCUUUAAUUCUUAAUUGGAUUAACCACUUUUCAAAUCUGACCUCGAAUCAGGUGGGACUACCCGCUGAACUUAAGCAUAUCAAUAAGCGGAGGA
rnacentral:misc_RNA from 1 species